rnacentral:misc_RNA from 1 species
GAUGAAGAACGCAGCGAAAUGCGAUACUUGGUGUGAAUUGCAGAAUCCCGUGAACCAUCGAGUCUUUGAACGCAAGUUGCACCCGAAGCCAUUAGGCCGAGGGCACGCCUGCCUGGGCGUCACACGUCGUUGCCCCCCAUCUACUCCUUCGGGAUUGCGGGGGGCGGAUGAUGGCCUCCCGUGCGCCUCGUCGCGCGGUUGGCAUAAAUGCCAAGUCCUCGGCGACGCACGCCACGACAAUCGGUGGUUGCGAAACCUCGGUUGCCCGUCGUGUGCGGUCGUCGCGCAUCGAGGGCUCGAAAAAAUUGCCGGGCUCCGGCUCGGCUUUCAACGCGACCCCAGGUCAGGCGGGGUUACCCGCUGAAUUUAAGCAUAUCAAUAAGCGAGGA